CUCCAGUCUAUACCCAAGAGCCCUGAACAAAGCCAAGCAAGGUACAGAUGGUUGAGGUCUGACCCUGGGGUGCUGGGGCAGAGAUCCAAGGGCAGACUGCUUGGGUGGUGGGAUCUUCAUUGCCCAGUCGAUUAUGGGAAAUUCCUAUGGAAUUAGUAAAGUAUACCUCUGGGUUCGUCUGUGAGGACGUUUCUAGAGAGCAGUGGACUAGAUACAGGGAUCGAUUAUUGAUUGAUUGAUUGAUUGAUUGAUUGAUUGAUACAGGGUUUCAUUACUGUAGCUUCAUUGGUCUGGAACUUGCUACAUAUGUAGAGCAGGCUGGCCUCAAACUCACAGAGAUCUACCUGCCUCUGCCUCCCGAGUGCACCACCAUGCCCAGCCCGUGGACCAUUUCUUGAGAGUGACAUAUUAUGGCAAGAGAGUGCUCAAAGGGUACACAGUGUUCAGCAGAGACCUCAGGAGACUUCUGGCUGCACAGCUCACCCCACGCUGGAGAAAAGACCACCCUGGACCACUCCCAAAGCAUCAAAAAAACCCUUUAGAGAUCCGCCUUCUUUAGUAAACCCAGCCGCUGCCAGGUGAAGGCCAACACUCUUCCAAGGGAUGUAAGUCAAUACAGAGCCCAACACUCUUCCAUGUGCUCCCUGGGGCAGUGCCCAGCAUCAAACCGAGAAUAGCAGACAACAAAGACAUAAGAAGACAUUACCAGAAACAGGAGAGAGGUCAGGAGCUGGAGGCACACCAGAAGUAACAGAGGUGGCCGAAACAGUAAAUAAAGAAUUAACUGGUUAUGGGUGUGUCUGUGUUCCAGGAUUUAAAGAAUAUAUGAGAAUAUAAGGAGAAUCAGGAACUUUGAAAACUGCAACUAGAAGCUGGAGUGGGGCUGGGACCGGAUGUUACCGAGAAGGCACUGGGUCACGCUAACAGAUCAAUGAGGCCCUGACCUGGUUGGUGGUUCAACUUGGCCUCCUGCUCAUUUCUUACAAAUAAAGUUUUAUUAUGGUGCAGCCGCAUUCCUCAGCUCGUGCUGUCGCCGCAGGACAUCAGAGGAGAGCAGGAAGACUGGCAUGUUCCUACUGGCCCUGCCGAGCCUUGCCCCCAGUCUUGACCUCUUGACUCUACACUGUGAACCGCCAAGCGGGCGCCUCAGCUAUCAAAGAAAAUGUGCGUGUUACACUUCUGCUGGUGGCUGGACUUGUUCCAAAUCAUCAGAACACGAAUCCCCAAGGC
rnacentral:lncRNA from 1 species